rnacentral:sRNA from 1 species
GACCACUCCGCCGACGCGGGGUCAAGGCCAUACGGACAGCCGGGUCCACUGCCGA